GAGGUAUCCACUACGCUUUCUCCUCCCUUCUCCAGUGUGCACCCUCCUCUGCACCCAGGCGCUGUCUCUGCUCAUGCGGUAGGCGCUGUGUGUGGUUCUGCGUGAGCACAUAACCCAGCUAGCUGCCAGCGCUACACUGUUGGAGUGCACAAGCACACCAAUUUCCCCGACACCAAAGGACACAUAAAAGCAAGAAGACGCCACACCUCUUUAUUCUUGUGGUGCAAGAGGAACAGUGAGAGUACCGCCACUUUUUGGGCAGCCGGUGCACCCUCUAGCGGCCAUCAUGACUUCUUUACCUGUGAAGAUGCAGCGGUAUGAGGCGGCGCUCGCGAGCCCGGUGAAUCAGUGUGGUGACCAGAAUGGAACUGACCCUCCGUCGUCUCAUCCAAUAUUGGUGCUCUCGCGAAAUCGACCACACAGACGUUGUCAACGACGACACCUAUGUCACGACUAGGUGAGCGUAUUCGCUGGUCACGGCUCCUCGUCGCUCGAGUGCUGCGGGGCAAGAGAUGCGCUGCUGCUGCGCAUCGACACACAAUUCCUCGCUGACGUGUCACUGAACAAAGAUAACGGUGCCGUGUUUUUCAUUGAAAUACCGAGCUGCUACUUGCCCGUGUUUCAGGAAUGAUGUUCGAUGACACACGGCGCCCUCAAUGCCGUUUCCGGCUUCCUGAGCACCAUCUCCUCCCGCAGUGCACAGAGCCGGCGUACGCAUCGACCGUGCAUUCCGUAUGUCCUGGUCGCGAUGACGCACCAUCUCCCUGAGAUGGAUAUCUUGUUUGGUGGCGCUGUCACUCCCAGUGCGCUCACCAUGAAUGACGAGGGCGGCAAGUUCGUUGCCCAACGCGGCAGUGUUCAGAUCCUCGUCGACGCCUUCCACUAUGCCCAUUGCAUGGAGACUUCUAAAGAAAGGGCCGAAGAAGCAAAACAAAAACGUUGCAGCGCGGCUCGGUGCUGCCAGCGCGCACCCGGUCUCGACCACUGGAGGAGCAGACCGUUCUCUGCCGCGACGCUCAAAAGUGGUGUCGUGACGCGCUUCUCAAGGUGUGCCGCACGCGUUCGAAUUCGGUGCAGGCUGCCCCGCAGCAGGCAGACUUCAACGCCUACGGACGCUGCCUCCAUUUGAAUGAGCUGAGGCGGGGUGUAAUACUCGAGUAGAGGAACUAGAGAGCUGCUCUCUCCUGCUACCUGGUGCAGCUGUGAACACUUUUUCUCGUGCUCGGCGUGCAUGUGUGUAGGCGGGAAAGGUGCUUGAGAAGGUGCAGGUGGAUCAAGCUGGCACACCCACUCUCGCAUCCUCCAACACGGCGUAUAUGGCGCUGUCUCGCCUCCCCACGUUGAGCCUCUAUGCACUUCUUUCCGCCACGUGUGCAGUGGACAGAGUAGAGAUGAAUGACAUACAAAGAGCGCUGGAAGGACCGAUGGUCCUGCGCUCAAGGGGUACUCGCCAACGUCAACCAUGUGCGCCAACUCGAGGGUGCAGGCGUCUCCUCUUUUACGGUGAGAAGAAAGGCGACACAGGUGCGCGUGUGUUCUGCACGAGGCUGCACACCUCCUGUUCCUCACUCCGGCCGCGCUCUUCGCUCUUUCCUUCCUCAUUCUUUUUCGUUGUUGUUCAGCGUCGACCUGUUGAGCCACAUUCUUCUUUCCCUGUUUUAGUGGUCACCGCUCUGUCUGUCUCUGUCUCUCCCUCCCUCUUAGACUGCUAUCGUGCGUGUAUGCGUCAACGAAGACCCGCCAUGGAUGAAAAGACGGCACGCACACGAAAGAAG
rnacentral:misc_RNA from 1 species